GUCUGCUUCUACCUGAAGACACACUCUGCAUGUGUUUAUAGUGCCUGCUGGUGAAAAGGAACAGCUUUCAAAAACUGGUGUCAUCUGGCAGAGGCUGGGGCCUCAUGCUUAGAGGCAUCAGUCCUCCACCCCAGAAGAAGGGGGUUCAGGAGCAGACACCAAACAGAGUCUGGGCAGAGUGUCCACCCUUCAGAACAACAUGGUGGACAGAGCUACCCUGGCACCCUACAUCUAUUCUACCCCAG
rnacentral:lncRNA from 1 species